UACAGAGGUCUCAAGCGUUGUUCGGAUUCAUUGGGCGUAAAGGGCGCGUAGGCGGCGCGGUAAGUCGGGUGUGAAAUCUUGGAGCUUAACUCCGAAGCUGCAUUCGAUACUGCCGUGCUUGAGGACUGGAGAGGAGACUGGAAUUUACGGUGUAGCGGUGAAAUGCGUAGAUAUCGUAAGGAAGACCAGUGGCGAAGGCGGGUCUCUGGACAGUUCCUGACGCUGAAGCACGAAGGCCAGGGGAGCAAACGGG
rnacentral:rRNA from 1 species